GGAUCAAUUUAUUGGUCGUGCUAUUGUACGUACUGGUAUUAUUGAUUUCUACCUUCUGAUAAACCUUGAUGUCAUUAAUUUGGUGUCAUGGGGAAUCAGGACUGUUACUUUGAAAAAAUUAGAGUGUUUAAAGCAGGCUCACGCUUGAAUACAUUAGCAUGGAAUAACGAAAUAGGACGUGCGGUUCUAUUUUGUUGGUUUCUAGGAUCGACGUA
rnacentral:rRNA from 1 species